GCCCCUGUAGCUUAACUAAAGCA
rnacentral:tRNA from 2 species